rnacentral:tRNA from 1 species
AAAAAAAAAUAUACGACCACGGCAGGGAUCGAACCUGCAAUCCCCAGAUUCGAAGUCUGAUGCCUUAUCCAUUAGGCCACGCGGCCAC